rnacentral:rRNA from 1 species
UACGAAGGGUGCAAGCGUUACUCGGAAUUACUGGGCGUAAAGCGUGCGUAGGCGGUUUGUUAAGUCCGCUGUGAAAGCCCUGGGCUCAACCUGGGAAUUGCAGUGGAUACUGGCAAGCUAGAGUGCGGUAGAGGAUGGUGGAAUUCCCGGUGUAGCGGUGAAAUGCGUAGAGAUCGGGAGGAACACCCGUGGCGAAGGCGGCCAUCUGGACCAGCACUGACGCUGAG